CCCAUGCUUCCCAGAAGUUAUAUAGCUCUGACCUUCAUCAUCCGUUGAACCCCAAGAUAUUAGCUUUCCAGAUCCUAAUUCCAUAUUCUUGAGUACAUAAGCAAUUAUACCAUAGCAUAUUAAUUAACAACAAUUCUAAUAACUAUUUUCCACAUUUAAUUAAGCAUAAUCUAGAAUAAUUGUUUUGCCGAAGAAAUUGA
rnacentral:misc_RNA from 1 species